rnacentral:rRNA from 1 species
GACGAACGCUGGCGGCGUGCUUAACACAUGCAAGUCGAACGGAAAGGCCCUGCUUUUGUGGGGUGCUCGAGUGGCGAACGGGUGAGUAACACGUGAGUAACCUGCCCUUGACUUUGGGAUAACUUCAGGAAACUGGGGCUAAUACCGGAUAGGUGCUCCUGCUGCAUGGUGGGGGUUGGAAAGUUUCGGCGGUUGGGGAUGGACUCGCGGCUUAUCAGCUUGUUGGUGGGGUAGUGGCUUACCAAGGCUUUGACGGGUAGCCGGCCUGAGAGGGUGACCGGCCACAUUGGGACUGGGAUACGGCCCAGACUCCUACGGGAGGCAGCAGUGGGGAAUAUUGCACAAUGGGCGGAAGCCUGAUGCAGCAACGCCGCGUGCGGGAUGACGGCCUUCGGGUUGUAAACCGCUUUCGCCUGUGACGAAGCGUGAGUGACGGUAAUGGGUAAAGAAGCACCGGCUAACUACGUG